UGGCCUUCUCGCGGCUUUCCCCCGAUAUCUCUCUUUAUUCCAGCUGCCUGAAACUCGGUCCCACGAAUGGCAGGCAGCGUCCAAAAUUCAACCCCGUAAAGCCAGCACCAGCCAAUAAAGCGCACGGAUGGAGGCCACGUGACAGCAGUGGGCCGGCCCUCCGGCUGAGCCCUGAUCUCUAUGGUUUCCGCGGCUCGCUAGAAGGAGUGUGGUCCACCGGAGGACUCCCUACAUUCUUCCUCCAUUACCUCACUGCCUCCGGUGGCUGCUGGGAUACCGGAGGACUCGGGUCCCGGCUCGACUCAGUCCUCCAGCCGCCCGGGGAAUACCUCUAGUUCUUCCCGGCCGCCGCCGCCGCCGCCGCCCCGCCGCUUCCUCCUCCGCCUGCCGGCCUCCUUCGCCCCGUCCCGUCCGCGCAGCGCGUCCGGCCCGCCCGCAGGCCAGCUUCUCUCGGGAGCCCCCACCCAGGCGCAUGGCUCCAUGAAGCAAGAGGAGGAGGCAGAGCGCGAGAGGUCCCGUCCGCCCCAGCCGCGUCUGGGCCAGGAUAAAAGCAAAACCAUAUUCCUGCUGCUGUCAGUUAUGAUGCACUGAGAAAACUUCAGAGACCUAAACUUUUUCCAGAGAAGAGAAGCUUUACUGGUGUUCCAGCCCUAAGAAACCUUUGUUCAAGAAAACGGCAGAUGCUCUGUUGAAUCCACUGGAGAUUGUUCUGAUACUAAGGACAAGUAUCAACCAUCUUUCCUGUGAAAAAUUCCCUCUCGUACUUUAGUUCUGUGGAUCCAAAAUUUAUAGCAUUCUUCUACCACCACAGGGGCUCAUAUGACAUUAACAGACAAGACACUUUUCAGAAAGACAGGGAACUGUGGAAGUAAACCAGGGGUGACAUGGAUUAUCAAAUAUUGUGGAUCAGGUGAGCUCUAGGCUUCUCAAUGCAAGGCAACGUGUUGGACCUUCCGGAGCUUCUCAGAAGACAGAGGGUUUUCUUUUGAGGUAAAUUUGAUAGUACAUUUUGAUAGUACGGGAGGCGAUACGGCAUGGUGACAGAAAAGCGCCGGCUUGGUUAGCAGGACCACCUGGCAGGGCUGCAGGCUGUGCCACUUACCAGGCAGGGGACCUUGGGCCAGCUGCUUGGCCUCACUCACCCUGUUUCUCAGCUGCAAUUGGGAUGAACAGACUGCCUGCUUCGGGGUUGCCUAAAACUCACAUUGGUUAAUGAUGUGAAAUGCUUAGCGCAGUGCCUGGCAUAGAGAGAAUUCUCAUUAGAUGAUACCUCAGCUGGGCUUUAGGAGCUACAGAAGAAGCUGCAUCUCCAUGAGCUCAGCGUGUUUCUAGCUUUCCUUUUUGUUUUCUAUUCAACCUUUCACCCAACUCAGCUUCUCAAUCCCUAAAUGACAAAGGUUUGGGAAGGAAGACUUGGACCGAGGCUUGCAUUUGUUUCUGAGAAUUAAACGUUAUGUUUUCUUCAAUCUAAAUAGGUUUGCUUGUACAGCCUUGUUGAAUGGUUUUUUUUUUUUUUCUCCAUGAUAAAUGACUCUCAACUUCUUUUCCCUCAUCUAAUUGCUUAUCUACAUACAAUGCCUGGAAGGAAAUAAAUGUAAUGGCCCGUAGCAACUGGCCUUCAGGUAUCAAGUUUAAGUCCCUUUAAGCAGAACAGCAAAUUGAGCACAGAAUGAACUGGUUUCAUGGUAGCGUACUGCAAUUAGAUGCAAGAAUAGGGAAAGCAGGGUGCUUCAAGUGGUGACACAAUUAGUAUAGCACUGAGGGACUUCUCUUUCCACUUCUUCAACUCCGCCUGCAUUCCGCUGGCUGAAGAGUUGAUGACAUCCCUGAAAAAUCUUCCCUCUCUUGUUUCUCUGAUGCCACCUCUGUGUUCUCCGCCUCACUGGCCACACUUCCUUUACCUCCCAAACUUUUAACUCUGAGUGUCCCAAACUUGUCUCAUCACCUACCCCUGCUGCCCAGCUCCCCAGCCUGUUCCCCUUCUGACACGGGCACUCUCCUUCUGCUCUCUUGGGAGAGAAACAAUGAAGGCCUAUUUGGCACUUUUAUUUCUAUUCAAGGAACCAGACUGUGAACAAGUUUACCAUUUAGUCCUUUGGACUGUGUCUUGAAUUCAUCCCUCUUCUCCAUUCUCACCAGCACCAUCAUCAUGAUGGCUAAUAUUUCCUGAGCACCUUUCAUUCAGGCAUGAUGCCAGGUGCACCAACUUACUUAAUCCUCAUAGCCACCACCUGAGCAAGCUCCUGUUUUAUAAAUGGACCAGUUCUUGUUGCUGUUGUACAAGUUAUUUUCUUUCUAUAACGUCCUCCUUGUCCUCCUUCCACAUUCUUAAAGAAACUUUCCCUUCCUUUAAAGUACUCAGGGAGCCCUGCAUUGCUUCUUGAAGCCUUCUCCAGCUUCAUCAUCUCACAGUGGUCUCUCUUUUCACUAAAUGUCCAAUAUGCUGCACAUAAGUACCCCAAAGUUAGCACAGAAUUGUUCCAUGGCUGUCAUAUAUGUUAAAAAUCAUUAAAAGUUCAUUUUUUCUCCCAUUAUGGGAAGGAUACAUGCUCCUACUAGUAAAUUUAGUUGGUAGAAAAAAAUUAUCACUAUCUAGACUGCUUUCCCUUUAGUCUUUAUGCAUAGCUUUCUGUCUGCCUAUUUUUACUUUGUGUUUGUAACUUACUAUUAUAAAAUAUGCAUCUCUAUGUUCAUUGUCAACAUUAUUUACAAUAACAUGGAGUGGAUUUACAUGUAUUCUCUAUAUUUGGAUUAAAGGAGAUAGAGUAUGUGAAAUUAAAUGGGAGAAGUAUCUGAUACAUAACAGGCAAUACAAAUAUUAUCACAUAGCGUCAAUUUAUUUGUGAAUAUUGAAAGCUCCA
rnacentral:lncRNA from 1 species